rnacentral:rRNA from 1 species
AUGGUGAAGAUCGCCGCUGCCUGCUGGAGCUUGAAGAUGACCACCAUCCAUUUGGACAGUCGGAUCGCUCACAAACGGCGUCGUCAGAAUGGUAAGAUCUUGCUGGCUACCACAGUCGGGAGAGGCGGCGGCAGCGUGGCACGCACACCGUCGGCGUGUAGGUCGAUGGCACCUGCCACGUUCAGCCUCCCCGAGGAGCGAGGGCAAGUGUAUACGACGAAACACCGGCAAUCAGCUUCACGGGGUCGCCUAGUCUUCUGUCUUGAAAAGAACAAGCAUCGGCUUGCUUUCUUUGCGACCAAAAAGAGGACAACAUAG